rnacentral:lncRNA from 1 species
AGAGUGGCUUCAGGCGUCUAUCAAGCCAACCAAAUCCCUCCUCUCUCUCUGGCUCUCCCCACCUAAAACAAAACUACUGUCCCCAACAUCCCAAAUUGCCCCUCUGCAGGCCAGGAAACUCUCCACCUCCUUUCCAUCAAGGGAGAAGACUCGUAGCCAGCCCCAGAUCGGGGCCUUUGCUUCCUUUUGGUCAGCCUCCCGGGGGCCUUGCAUUAGCCCGGGGCCUUAGGCGAC